rnacentral:rRNA from 1 species
GCCAGACUCCUACGGGAGGCAGCAGUGGGGAAUAUUGCACAAUGGGCGAAAGCCUGAUGCAGCAACGCCGCGUGAAGGAAGAAGGCCUUCGGGUCGUAAACUUCUGUCCUUGGGGAAGAAGAUGACGGUACCUGAGUAAGAAGCCCCGGCUAACUACGUGCCAGCAGCCGCGGUAAUACGUAGGGGGCAAGCGUUAUCCGGAUUUACUGGGUGUAAAGGGAGCGUAGACGGCAUAGCAAGUCUGAAGUGAAAGCCCAAGGCUCAACCAUGGGACUGCUUUGGAAACUGUUAAGCUAGAGUGCUGGAGAGGUAAGCGGAAUUCCUAGUGUAGCGGUGAAAUGCGUAGAUAUUAGGAAGAACACCAGUGGCGAAGGCGGCGUACUGGACAGUAACUGACGUUGAGGCUCGAAAGCGUGGGGAGCAAACAGGAUUAGAUACACGUGUAUCC